UGUUCAAUGAUCUGCAAGCUCUUGCUGGUCAGGUAAGAUGAGAGCGGUAUCACUCAUAGAAAUUAGUGCUGCAACUGCCCUUUAUACGAUGGUGUCAAUCCGAGAAGAGAAAGCAAGGAGCCGUCAGCAAUGGCUAGGCGAGUGACCUUAUUCCAGAUUAUUCAUUCAUACGAAUGAUUAUGAAGCAAUUAAGUUGAGAUAGUUGCUUCACCUCCCAUCCUAUACUCCUUAUGUUCAUUAAUUUCUUGAAUGUAUGCUUCACUUUUGUUAACACCAUCAAUUACUAAGAUGCUAGGGUAAAUUCUCUGUUAAAGUUUUUCUUUUUCCGCACUUAUAUCUACAUACGACCGAUCCUAUGUUUCCUAGAGCUAUAUUGCUAUCUCCCGGGCACUCUAUUGGUGAAUAAAAUUCUGCUAGGUUAUGUACAACAUGUUGUGCAUGGCAGCUUGAAGCAGUGGAUCAAGUUGUGCAAGUCACCCCGUAUUGGGUGGCACGCUGCCCAAUUGGUGGUAGACAACGGAAUUUCUUCUUGGCAUGCUGCAAGAUACACUUCGACUAGGUGUUGGGUGCUGCCUUUGUUGUUAAGCACAGUGGCGAGGUUGUGGAUGACGAGGAUGAUCGAUUAGGCGGCAAGUUCGAUGGUGCUCCGGACUCCCAUGCAGGUGUUCGAAGGAGCGACUACCUUGUAUGCAGUUUCCUACAAGGGACAAGGUGCCACUGUGAAAGGGACGACAACUCCCCACAUAUGUUGCCUAGCAUUGACAAUAAGGCUGAUCUAUCACAGCACCAUGGCCACUACAUCAUCAGCAAGUAAGGGUUGUUGCAGAAUUAUUAUAUGUCCUGAAUCUGGUUGAUUAGAUUACCAACUGGCUAGGAUUAGUUUUAUUCAUUCUCAUAGGUAUAGUGAGCCACAUGAUAUAUUUGCUGCAGGGAGCAGCCAUAUUACUGUGAUCUUCCUUUUCUUCAUCUUUCUUUUAGAUUUAUUGAACCUAGGAAGCGGCGGUAAAGAUCUGGUUGUUGUGGAGGUGCCUCCUGCCGUCCUGGCCAUAUGAGAUGGGUGAGCGCUGGCGAACAGAAGGCUGCUAAGGACGCCAGAAUCAGCGGUGAAUUGGAGGUUGAGAGAGAGAUAGGGGAUCGGGGCGGUCUGGGUGCUGCAGUACCAGCAGUUGAAUUUUCUCCAUUGCAUUCAUCUGAAACUUUCUCAGCAAAUCAAAUACAAAAUAACAAGAAUCCGUUCUCUGUUUCUACUAAGGUACGUCACGUGUCAAUCACGACAGCUGCUUACUUUGCAGGAAAGUGCCCUGUGAUCUUGUCUCCUAUUUUAAUCCAUAUAUCGUCUUGUAGUCGAGAACAGCAAAGGCAAGUCAAGGUUAUCCAGAACUCUGAAGGUCUUACUUCCCAAGAUAAAUCACUCUCAUCACAAUGGUUCGACCUUCCUAAUGUGUGGUUCUGUUUGAUGGCAUUCAUGAAAAUAAUUGAGUGAAAUUCAUCAAACAUAGUUUACCAUUUGGGGAAUAGUCACAGAGUGCAUAGAUACGUCUGUUGUGUUUGAGAAUAUUCAUGUUUUACCAAUACUUCCGAUUUAUUGAUCAUUUAAUAGAUUUAGAAGUUCCUUUUCUAGCUAUUCAUUUAUAUCCAUAGUCGUCACCAUAUAUCAAUUGAAUCCAUGUUGGUUUCUAGAUAUUAAAACUGUUCAUAAAAUUUUGUAGGCUUACAAUUUACGUAGAGAUAAAUAUGAAAUACUCCUAGCUGAAAGAAAUGGGGAACACUUAAUUAAUGCAUUAGUUUUUACUACAAAAUGUGCAGAACUAGAGGAGGUUGGAAUAUGUUCUGAAUGCUUACGUUUGUGAAGUUCUUUUUGUUCAGUGGGAUGCUAACCAAGUAGGAUGAGACACAUAUCGUGCUAUGUCGUGUGCUGAUGGGUCGGCCAGAGGCCAUUAUGGUCGGGUCCUCUCAGUUCUACUUCAGCGGUAACAACUACAAUAGAGAUGUCAGCAACAUGUAGAAUCCACGACGGUACAUUUUUUGGAGCACGGACAUGGACACAAUAAUCGUACCAGAGUACUUCAUCAGCAUCAAGUUCCCCCAGUGUACAACACCUCCAAGGUUAGUGAGCAGCUGAGCGCUCUGUCCGAAACUAUGAAUUGAUCCUGCAGUUGUAUAGGAGGUUCUUGUGUGUCAUGUGGUUCACUGGAAACAUGUUUUCAGUAUCACUGGGAGCUUCCCGACCCUCGUUGAUGAGAUUCAGUGGUUCGUUGUCACCCCCCAAGCUGCAAACAUUGCAGGGACCUUGCAAUCGAUUCAAGGUAAAUUAAUGUUCUUUGCCUCAGCUGCUGCAUUUGACUAAUGCAAUUGUGCGGUGCCUACCAUGCA